rnacentral:rRNA from 1 species
AACGAACGCUGGCGGCAGGCUUAACACAUGCAAGUCGAGCGCCCCGCAAGGGGAGCGGCAGACGGGUGAGUAACGCGUGGGAAUCUACCGUGCCCUACGGAAUAGCUCCGGGAAACUGGAAUUAAUACCGUAUACGCCCUACGGGGGAAAGAUUUAUCGGGGUAUGAUGAGCCCGCGUUGGAUUAGCUAGUUGGUGGGGUAAAGGCCUACCAAGGCGACGAUCCAUAGCUGGUCUGAGAGGAUGAUCAGCCACAUUGGGACUGAGACACGGCCCAAACUCCUACGGGAGGCAGCAGUGGGGAAUAUUGGACAAUGGGCGCAAGCCUGAUCCAGCCAUGCCGCGUGAGUGAUGGAGGUCUUAGGAUUGUAAAGCUCUUUCACCGGUGAAGAUAAUGACGGUAACCGGAGAAGAAGCCCCGGCUAACUUCGUGCCAGCCGCCGCGGUAAGAC